AUUGAACGCUGGCGGCAGGCCUAACACAUGCAAGUCGAGCGAGCGGCGGACGGGUGAGUAAUGUAUGGGGACUGCCCGAUAGAGGGGGAUAACUACUGGAAACGGUAGCUAAUACCGCAUACUAUCGGAUAACCCAUAUGGGAUUAGCUAGUAGGUGAGGUAAUGGCUCACCUAGGCGACGAUCCCUAGCUGGUCUGAGAGGAUUAUCAGCCAAACCGGGACGGGGAAACGGCCCAGAAUCCAAGGGGGGCAGCAGGGGGGAAGAUUUGACAAUGGGCGCAAGCCUGAUGCAGCCAUGCCGCGUGUAUGAAGAAGGCCCUAGGGUUGUAAAGUACUUUCAGUCGGGAGGCGUUACCGACAGAAGAAGCACCGGUUAACUCCGUGCCAGCAGCCGCGGUAAUAC
rnacentral:rRNA from 1 species